CUCUCAUGCUUUUAGUACCAUUUGUAGAGAAGAAUUCUUUGGAAUGUAUAAGAGUCUUGGUGCAACAUAGUUGUUGAUAGGCUUUGAUGUAAAGCAUAUAUUUGCAUGCAUGUUCACAUUUCAAUUGGCGUGUUCAUGAUAUUGAAAUGCCUUGAUGCAAGACGAAUCUUGUUUGAUUCUUUAAAUGGGUAUUAUAAAUGAUCAUGAAUCUAUUGUUAAGGCAAUUAAAUAAGUUGAUAUUGUGAUAUGUGCUGCUGGUAGACUACUAAUUGAGGACCAGGUCAAGAUUAUUAAAGCAAUUAAAGAAGCUGGAAACAUUAAGAUGCACCAAGAAUGAGCAAAAUAUCAAAGAAACAAGGCAACUACCAUCAAAAAGUGGCGCUAGCCACCUUGUGUAAGGCGUUGGCCUUGAAAAGGCACAAGCCGCACAACACAAGGCGCUGGCCUUGAGUUAUAAGGUGCUGGCCAUGAGUCACAAGGCGCCAGCUUGGCACAUUUACACUAAGUCAGCCACUAAGCAAGUGGCGCCAGCCACUAAGCAACAAGGUACCAGUCACAACAAAAAAGGCGCUGGCCGUUCCUAUUUUUUAGAGAGAGAUUCGUCACGAUCAUCCAUUCCUACUCUUACGCCACACGAUUCUCAACUGAAUCCCGAAUGAAUUGGAGGAAAAGCUGUUGCAAACGUUCGCCUAUAAAUAAGAGAGUCUAACUCUGUUUUAAAGGACGCCAUAUAUUUUACAGAGUUCAGAGCAAAUUAAUUUUUAGAUUUUAAGUGUUUAAGCAUUCAAAGCAUUUGAGGUGUAAUUUCCAGUUUCAAUUCCUGUUCCAGUACUUGUGUUA